UGUUGUUGUUAAGAUCGCUCUCUUCUUCUUCCUCCUUUUGUCUUUCUCACAAGCUUCAUUCCUUCAACUCAAAACUUUACUUGCUCAUGUCAUGGCCGUCCCAAUACAACAACGUUUGACAGUAACAUUACUUUCUCUCCUCCAUCUCCCACCUACGUCUUCUUUCCCGGGACCUGGUCAGUUCUCUCUCUUACUUCCUCCUUUGGACCCAUUUCCAAAGACUUUACCUUUUAAGAGAUUCAAGAUUUGGGUUCUAUUGUGUGACAUUACGUGUAAAGAUCACCGAGCUAGUUUGCAUACAAAUUGCGUGUUGGGACGCUUUGCAGGGCUCAUGCCAAAAAGCGCAAUAUCUCUUUCCAGCAGAUCAUAUGAGGUGGUGCUAAAUU